rnacentral:rRNA from 1 species
GCUCCUACCGAUUGGAUGACUCGGUGAAAUCACCGGAUUUGCUUUUUUGCAUAGAAAGUGAUUAAAUCACGUUAUCUAGAGGAAGGAGAAGUCGUAACAAGGU